rnacentral:rRNA from 1 species
ACGCUCGACACCUACGAGAGGCAGCAGUGGGGAAUAUUGCACAAUGGGGGGAACCCUGAUGCAGCGACGCCGCGUGAGGGAAGAAGGUUUUCGGAUUGUAAACCUCUGUCCUUGGUGACGAUAAUGACGGUAGCCAAGGAGGAAGCCACGGCUAACUACGUCGCCAGCAGUCGCGGUAAUCUGAGCGGGCUGGCAAGGC